rnacentral:rRNA from 1 species
UACGGGGGGGGCAAGCGUUGUUCGGAAUUACUGGGCGUAAAGGGCUCGUAGGCGGCCAACUAAGUCAGACGUGAAAUCCCUCGGCUUAACCGGGGAACUGCGUCUGAUACUGGAUGGCUUGAGUUUGGGAGAGGGAUGCGGAAUUCCAGGUGUAGCGGUGAAAUGCGUAGAUAUCUGGAGGAACACCUGCGGCGAAGGCGGGUUGCUGGGCUGAUACUGACGCUGAUGCGCGAAAGCUAGGGGAGCAAACAGG